rnacentral:rRNA from 1 species
GCAGCAGUGGGGAAUUUUGGACAAUGGGGGCAACCCUGAUCCAGCCAUNCCGCGUGAGUGAAGAAGGCCUUCGGGUUGUAAAGCUCUUUCGCAAGGGAAGAAACGGCCAUAUCUAAUAAAUAUGGCUAAUGACGGUACCUUGAUAAGAAGCACCGGCUAACUACGUGCCAGCAGCCGCGGUAAUACGUAGGGUGCGAGCGUUAAUCGGAAUUACUGGGCGUAAAGCGAGCGCAGGCGGUUUUGUAAGCCAGAUGUGAAAUCCCCGGGCUCAACCUGGGAACUGCGUUUGGAACUGCAAGGCUAGAGUGUGUCAGAGGGAGGUAGAAUUCCACGUGUAGCAGUGAAAUGCGUAGAGAUGUGGAGGAAUACCGAUGGCGAAGGCAGCCUCCUGGGAUAACACUGACGCUCAUGCUCGAAAGCGUGGGGAGCAAACAGGAUUAGAUAUCCCUGGUAGUCCACGCCCUAAACGAUGUCUACUAGUUGUUGGAGGAGUGAAAUCCUUCAGUAACGCAGCUAACGCG